UAAAAUAUAGAGGACAGACCAGACUGUGUAGCCAUUAAUAUUAUUUUUAUAUAUAUAUAAUUUGUAUGUUAUAGUUAUAUAUUUUUAGUAUUGUUGUAUAUAAUGAUUAUUAAGAUUUUUAUUUUUUUCAUUUUAAAAUUAUUUAAUAACAAUAUUAACGACCUCCCAGUAGGUGAGACUACCCCCCUAAAUUUUAACCAU
rnacentral:rRNA from 1 species